rnacentral:lncRNA from 1 species
AAAUUAAAAUACAAUUAUACCUUGGUAAAAAAUAAUUAUUGCAGUUAUUUCUCAUUAUGAAGACAGUUUUAAGUUGUUAUUUAACAAAAAAUAACUAACCAUGAGGGACAAACUUUGAAAAAACAAUUUUAAACAAUCUUCUUAUUAUCUUAAAGACAACAGUUUCAGCUGAGAAUAUCUAGUUUCGUCUAAAAGUCUACAAUUUUCUUGAAAAUGUCUUCCAUCAGUACUCAACAAGUUACAAACUUAAUUUGAUUUAAACAGAUAACAGAUUCUUUUCUGGCUUGGUUUUUCUGGUUUAAAAUGAGAAAAUAAGGCUGUAAAAAUAUAUCUCAUAAAACAUACUAAGAUACAAAUAUAAUAAAAUACUUAGCUGAGCACAUCCUGAUACUACGAUAGAAUGAACCCUGAACAGUUUGAGCAAGUUUGGACACAAUAUACAAGCUUGAUACUGUCUGAAUUUGAAUUGUGAUCAAUUGUGAAUUGAUAGGUUUUUGGCAGAAAAUAAAUGUGGUCAAAGAUCUUUCUACAAAAUCUAUUGUGCAAUACUGUGCAAAUAUAUAUUUCUUCUUUAAACUUGAAAAAUGAAAACAAAAAUGUGAACACCCCCAGAAAACACCUUCUUGCAAAAUUUCAUAGAGAUCCAUACAAAUUUAAGUUAUUGUCAUGGAAUCAAAUGUGUCUUCAGACUACAACGCUGACGACUACGCUGACGACUACGCUGAUGGUGAAAACUUCUUAGCAUUAUAUGUAUAAAAAAAAUUUGGCCAUAACUUACAUUAAUAUUACAAUCUGAUUGGAGUAUUAAUUCAUGAGGUAGAGUUGUAAACUAAUUCCUACACAUACACAAAUUGACAGGAUAGCUAAAACAUCACAAAAACAUUAAAAUAGAUUUAUCUACAUUUACACACUUUCAGACAUAAUCAAAUCAGUUAUAAAAUUAUUUCCAGCUACUUUCAGCUUAACAUGUAUAAUCUUACAAAAUGAACGUUCUUCCUCCUAUCAUAAUCAUCAUUUUUAUAAGCGGUCACAACAGUGCUUUAUAAAUUACAUUUACACACCAAAAUGUUGGAAUUUUUUACACCUUAUUUAUAUCGAAAAUUGAUAUAAUUACAUUACAUUUACAGGGAAAGUAAAUCUUAGGUUUCAAAGCAUUAACCACUUAAUUAUUUAUGUUUAUAUUCAAACAUGUGUAUCUUCAUAUAAAAGAAAUCCUAAAUGAAUGGUUAAUAGUAAACACAGCAACAAUGAAGCUAUUGGAUAAAGGAGAAUAGUGAAUUUGUUUUAAU